GAUUAAAGCUCUGGUGUACCCUGUAGUAAUUUCAAGGUUUAAAUUCCUCUAGGACUGAUGAUUCUGGUUACUUUGAUGGUGCUUUUUUUUUCAAAAGACAAGGAGGUUGCAGAAUUUGUGGAGGGUAUCCGGAAUCGAAUCAAACCUGUGAGUGAUGCUAUUCUUCCAUGAUUAUAUUUUAAUGUAACAGAAUCAUACAAGGUUAGAAAUUAUAAUCUCUUUGGUUGUUUGAGCACAAAACCAAACUAGAAAACUUAAUACACAAACUUAAACAAUAAUUACAAUCUGCUAUUCUCUACCAAUUAAAGUGAUACGUUUUUCUUACCAUGUUAAUGAUUUUAGGCUUCAGACACAUUUGAAACAAUAUUAAUGUUGCAUUACUGUUGUUGAAGAAUUAUUGUUUUGCAUGUUGCUCCAAUCUCACUCCCGCGCUGGUUUGUAUCAAGUGGGCGUGGCCUAUGUGAAGUAGGCGUGGCUUGUGUGAGGUAUUGGCACAGCCCUCCUCACCUGUCUAAAGGUGCUGCCAUCUGUGGCUGGAGUAGUUAUUGCAGCUUAUGCGUUCGAUCCUGCUUCCUAGUGGCUAUGUGGGGGCAGCUUAUCUCGUGUGUUCGAUCCUGCUUCCUAGUGGCUAUGUGGGGGUAAUGCAGCGUGUGUGUUCGAUCCUGCUUCCUAGUGGCUAUGUGGGGGCAGUUUAUGUGCUUGAAAUACGUAACAUUCUAUAUGUGAUAAAAAUCAGACAAUAACAACCGGCCAUACUUUCUAAGGUAUUAAUUUAACUCUCUGCUCAAGACAUGCAGCUUCAGUUGCUGCAGGAAAGCCUUGAGGAUGAUCCUUUAUUUAGCCUGUUCAGAAGCAAGAGAGAUGUUGACUCGAACCUGGGAUAUGCGGCAAACACAGUCUGAAGAGAAAUGGGAGAAUGCCAGGCCACACCUUUUGGAGUCGAUGUUAUCAGCAGAGUGGACACUGGAUCAGUGUCAAUUGACUUGUUGAAAUGCAAAUGUAUAAUUUUAUACAUUUGCAAUCCAAUUCAUGUUUUUGAAUUGCUAACUCUUGUCUGAUGAUGUUUUAAAAGUAUCUGGUCGAGGUGUGUGUGGUAAAUCCAAGUGGACAGCUGCAAGGGAGACUGCGAAAAAGUCUGGGUCAAAGGUGGAUGAAGAGGGAGUUGAGGUGGCCGUCUGCCGUCAUGGCAUUCUGUUCAAAGCUUUGAACAUUUUCAGAGGAGACAUAUUUGCUUAUCCUCUCUUUCUACAAAAUGAGGUUGCUUUGGGCCAUAACAUUCCAUAUUUCUGUACUGACAUCAUGUGCAAGUACUAUCCUUACCUGCAGAAGGUGGGGCCUGCCCGUAAUUCCGACCUCAUUGUUCCGACGUCUCAAUGGUCCGCAAUAUUUCCCAUUAGAUCGACAUGCCACUAUGCCGACGGUUCAAUGUUCCGAAAACGGAACCCAUUGGUCCGAAAGUCAGUUUGU